rnacentral:rRNA from 1 species
UCUCCUGGGGAACGGGUGGUAAUGCCGGAUGCUCCAGUUGAUCGCAUGGUCUUCUGGGAAAGCUUUCGCGGUAUGGGAUGGGGUCGCGUCCUAUCAGCUUGACGGCGGGGUAACGGCCCACCGUGGCUUCGACGGGUAGCCGGCCUGAGAGGGCGACCGGCCACAUUGGGACUGAGAUACGGCCCAGACUCCUACGGGAGGCAGCAGUGGGGAAUAUUGCACAAUGGGCGCAAGCCUGAUGCAGCGACGCCGCGUGAGGGAUGGAGGCCUUCGGGUUGUAAACCUCUUUUAUCGGGGAGCAAGCGAGAGUGAGUUUACCCGUUGAAUAAGCACCGGCUAACUACGUGCCAGCAGCCGCGGUAAUACGUAGGGUGCAAGCGUUAUCCGGAAUUAUUGGGCGUAAAGGGCUCGUAGGCGGUUCGUCGCGUCCGGUGUGAAAGUCCAUCGCUUAACGGUGGAUCCGCGCCGGGUACGGGCGGGCUUGAGUGCGGUAGGGGAGACUGGAAUUCCCGGUGUAACGGUGGAAUGUGUAGAUAUCGGUA